UUAAUUGGAUGAGCUUGGUAUGGAAACUACCAAGUGAUAACUUUCAAAUUCAGAGAAACCCUGGAAUUACAAAUGGGCAAUCCUGAGCCAAAUCCUGUUUUCUGAAAACAAACAAGGAUUCAGAAAGUGAUAAUAAAAAAGGAUAGGUGCAGAGACUCAAUGGAAGCUGUUCUAACAAAUGGAGUUGGCUGCGCUGCGUUAGUAAAGGAAUCCUUCCAUCGAAACUCCAGAAAGGAUGAAGAAUAAACCUAUAUAUACGUAUACGUACUGAAAUACUAUCUCCAAACCAAAUGAUUAAUGACGACCCGAAUCUUUUUUUUAUAUUUAUAUGUUUAUAUGAAAAAUGAAAGAAUUGCUGUGAAUCGAUUCCAAGUAAAAAAAUGGAAUAUUCAUUGAUCAAAUCAUUUACUCCAUCGUAAUCUGAUAGAUCUUUUGAAAAAUUUAUUAAUCGGACGAGAAUAAAGAUAGAGUCCCAUUCUACAUGUCAAUAUCGGCAACAAUGAAAUUUAUAGUAAGAGGAAAAUCCGUCGACUUUAGAAAUCGUGAGGGUUCAAGUCCCUCUAUCCCCA
rnacentral:ncRNA from 1 species